UGGCGGCGUGCUUAACACAUGCAAGUCGAACGAUGAGGCCCAGCUUGCUGGGCCGAUUAGUGGCGAACGGGUGAGUAACACGUGAGUAACCUGCCCCCGACUCUGGGAUAAGCCCGGGAAACUGGGUCUAAUACCGGAUAUUCUCCCUCCGCCGCAUGGCGGGGGGUGGAAAGCGGUUUAGCGGUCGGGGAUGGACUCGCGGCCUAUCAGCUUGUUGGCGGGGUAACGGCCCACCAAGGCGACGACGGGUAGCCGGCCUGAGAGGGUGACCGGCCACACUGGGACUGAGACACGGCCCAGACUCCUACGGGAGGCAGCAGUGGGGAAUAUUGCACAAUGGGCGAAAGCCUGAUGCAGCGACGCCGCGUGAGGGAUGACGGCCUUCGGGUUGUAAACCUCUUUCAGUAGGGAAGAAGCGAAAGUGACGGUACCUGCAGAAGAAGCGCCGGCUAACUACGUGCCAGCAGCCGCGGUAAUACGUAGGGCGCAAGCGUUAUCCGGAAUUAUUGGGCGUAAAGAGCUCGUAGGCGGUUUGUCGCGUCUGCCGUGAAAGUCCGGGGCUCAACCCCGGAUCUGCGGUGGGUACGGGCAGACUAGAGUGAUGUAGGGGAGACUGGAAUUCCUGGUGUAGCGGUGAAAUGCGCAGAUAUCAGGAGGAACACCGAUGGCGAAGGCAGGUCUCUGGGCAUUAACUGACGCUGAGGAGCGAAAGCAUGGGGAGCGAACAGGAUUAGAUACCCUGGUAGUCCAUGCCGUAAACGUUGGGCACUAGGUGUGGGGGACAUUCCACGUUUUCCGCGCCGUAGCUAACGCAUUAAGUGCCCCGCCUGGGGAGUACGGCCGCAAGGCUAAAACUCAAAGGAAUUGACGGGGGCCCGCACAAGCGGCGGAGCAUGCGGAUUAAUUCGAUGCAACGCGAAGAACCUUACCAAGGCUUGACAUGGGCCGG
rnacentral:rRNA from 1 species